rnacentral:rRNA from 1 species
AUUGAACGCUGGCGGCAGGCCUAACACAUGCAAGUCGAGCGGAUGAAGGGAGCUUGCUCCUGGAUUCAGCGGCGGACGGGUGAGUAAUGCCUAGGAAUCUGCCUGGUAGUGGGGAUAACGUCCGGAAACGGGCGCUAAUACCGCAUACGUCCUGAGGGAGAAAGUGGGGGAUCUUCGGACCUCACGCUAUCAGAUGAGCCUAGGUCGGAUUAGCUAGUUGGUGGGGUAAAGGCCUACCAAGGCGACGAUCCGUAACUGGUCAGAGAGGAUGAUCAGUCACACUGGAACUGAGACACGGUCCAGACUCCUACGGGAGGCAGCAGUGGGGAAUAUUGGACAAUGGGCGAAAGCCUGAUCCAGCCAUGCCGCGUGUGUGAAGAAGGUCUUCGGAUUGUAAAGCACUUUAAGUUGGGAGGAAGGGCAGUAAGUUAAUACCUUGCUGUUUUGACGUUACCAACAGAAUAAGCACCGGCUAACUUCGUG